rnacentral:rRNA from 1 species
GGGGUAACGCUUAGCCGGCAGCCUAAUACAUGCAAGUCGAGGGGCAACAUGAACUGCUUGCAGUUUGAUGACGACCGGCGCACGGGUGCGUAACGCGUAUACAACUUACCUUUAUCUGGAGGAUAGCCCGGAGAAAUUCGGAUUAAUACUCCAUAGUAUUAUAAAGUAGCAUUGCUUAAUAAUUAAAGAUUUAUCGGAUAAAGAUAGGUAUGCGUCCCAUUAGCUAGUUGGUGCAGGUAACGGCUCACCAAGGCGACGAUGGGUAGGGGUUCUGAGAGGAAGGUCCCCCACACUGGCACUGAGAUACGGGCCAGACUCCUACAGGAGGCAGCAGUAGGGAAUAUUGGUCAAUGGAGGCAACUCUGAACCAGCCAUGCCGCGUGAACGAUGAAGGCCUUCGGGUUGUAAAGUUCUUUUGUAUGGGAAGAAACUCAUCCUUGCGAGGAUGCUUGACGGUACCAUAAGAAUAAGCACCGGCUAACUCCGUGCCAGCAGCCGCGGUAAUACGGAGGGUGCAAGCGUUGUCCGGAAUUAUUGGGUUUAAAGGGUGCGCAGGCGGUUUCGUCAGUCAGAGGUUAAAGACCGGAGCUUAACUCCGAGUUUGCCUUUGAUACUGCGAGACUUGAAAUACAUAUGGGUAGGCGGAAUUCCUCAUGUAGCGGUGAAAUGCACAGAUAUGAGGAGGAAGACCGAAGGCGAAGGCAGCUUACUGGGUGUUAUUUGACGCUGAGGCACGAAAGCGUGGGGAGCGAACAGGAUUAGAUACCCUGGUAGUCCACGCCGUAAACGAUGAGAACUCGACCUGUGUCGCGUAGCGAUGCGGGUCCAAGUGAAAACGAGAAGUUCUCCACCUGGGGAGUACGCCGGCAACGGUGAAACUCAAAUGAAUUGACGGAAGGG